rnacentral:rRNA from 1 species
AGAGUUUGAUCAUGGCUCAGGAUUAACGCUAGCGGCAGGCCUAAUACAUGCAAGUCGAACGGUAACACGGGUAGUAAUACCUGGUGACGAGUGGCGCACGGGUGCGUAACGCGUAUGUAAUCUACCUCUAACUGGGGAAUAGCCUUCCGAAAGGAAGAUUAAUACCGCAUAAUAUAAAGGAGAGACAUCUCCCCUUUAUCAAAACUCAGGUGGUUAGAGAUGAACAUGCGUGACAUUAGCUAGUUGGUAAGGUAACGGCUUACCAAGGCUACGAUGUCUAGGGGGUCUGAGAGGAUGAUCCCCCACACUGGUACUGAGACACGGACCAGACUCCUACGGGAGGCAGCAGUAAGGAAUAUUGGACAAUGGGGGCAACCCUGAUCCAGCCAUGCCGCGUGAAGGAUUAAGGCCCUAUGGGUCGUAAACUUCUUUUAUAAGGGAAAAAACCCCUCUAUGCGUAGGGGGUUGAUGGUACUUUAUGAAUAAGGGUCGGCUAACUUCGUGCCAGCAGCCGCGGUAAUACGAAGGACCCGAGCGUUAUCCGGAUUUACUGGGUUUAAAGGGUGCGUAGGUGGACCUGUAAGUCAGUGGUGAAAGCCCGAAGCUCAACUUCGGAACUGCCAUUGAUACUGCUGGUCUUGAGUAUAGUUGAGGUAGGCGGAAUAUGUCAUGUAGUGGUGAAAUACUUAGAUAUGACAUAGAACACCGAUUGCGAAGGCAGCUUGCUAAGCUAUAACUGACACUGAUGCACGAAAGCGUGGGGAGCAAACAGGAUUAGAUACCCUAGUAGUCC